GAUGAACGCUAGCGGAAGGCUUAAUACAUGCAAGUCGAGCGGUAGGUGGCUUCGGCCAUUGAGAGCGGCGCACGGGUGAGUAACGCGUACAUGACCUGCCUGUCAGAAGGGGAUAGCCCUGGGAAACUGGGAUUAAUACCCUAUGGUAUUGAUAUUAUGAAUGAUAUCAAUUAAAGUUGAGGCGCUGACAGAUGGAUGUGCGUCUGAUUAGCUAGUUGGUAGGGUAACGGCCUACCAAGGCGACGAUCAGUAGGGGGCGUGAGAGCGUGGUCCCCCCANACGGGGUACUGAGACACGGACCCGACUCCUACGGGAGGCAGCAGUAAGGAAUAUUGGUCAAUGCCCGCAAGGGUGAACCAGCCAUUCCGCGUGGAGGAUGAAGGCCCUAUGGGUUGUAAACUUCUUUUAGAUGGGAAGAAAAUGCUAGAUGUAUCUGGUACUGACGGUGCCAUCAGAAUAAGCAACCGGCUAACUCCGUG
rnacentral:rRNA from 1 species